UAAAUUGUUAUGAUAUACUGCUCAUGUACAACAGAUUUAAAGAGCAAUUAUCUGGAUAUUUUCCAAACCAAAACAUGCAACAACAAGACAAACCUUUUAAACCAUUUACUUUCCACUGUUAAAACUAUUGUUUCAUUAAUUCCCAAACACAGUCACAACUUUUGUCAUAUUUCUAUUAGCAUGCAAACAUGUACCAGACUUCUGACAAAUCAAUGAUGGACCUGUUGUUCAGACACAAUCUUUAAUAUGAGAUGCAUGCAAACAUAUACCAGACUUCUGAGUAAUCACUCAAAUUCAAAGUAAAGUAUUUUUUACUGGCCAGCCAAGCCCUGUCUUUAAAUCACACAACUCAAACACAACAGGCUAUUUGGGGACAUUUACGCACAAUGUAACAGUGUCUAAUGUGAACCAUUUUGGUCCAAAAUGUUUCACACACUUUUUAACUCAGAAACUGACCAAAUGUGUGCUAUGGGGACGUCGUCAGUGUCCAGAAAACACUGAUGAUUAACCAUGGAAAAGACCCACCCUCCUGAAGGUUCAAAUCUGCCCUAAUUAGCCUACCAUACUUAUAGAAACCUUCUAGAUGCAUUACAUUAAACUGUUGAGUGUACUAAUUCAUACUAGAGCACAUUUUAUUACA